rnacentral:rRNA from 1 species
UACGUAGGGUGCGAGCGUUGUCCGGAAUUAUUGGGCGUAAAGGGCUCGUAGGCGGUUUGUCGCGUCGGGAGUGAAAUCCACUGGCUUAACUGGUGGCUUGCUUUCGAUACGGGCAGACUGGAGGUAUGCAGGGGGAGAACGGAAUUCCUGGUGUAGCGGUGAAAUGCGCAGAUAUCUGGAGGAACACCGGUGGCGAAGGCGGCUACCUGGACAGAAACUGACGCUGAGGCGCGAAAGCUAGGGGAGCAAACAGG